ensembl:lncRNA
UCUCCCUCUCUCUCUACCUCUCCCUCGAUUUCUCCCUCUCCUUCCCUCUCUCUCCCUCCAUCCAUCUCUCUCCUCUCUUUCUCCAUCCAUCUCUUCCUCUCUCCCUCUCUCCAUCUCUCCCUCUCUCUCUCCCUCCAUCCAUCUCUCUCCUCUCUUUCUCUCUCUUCCUCCAUCCAUCUCUUCCUCUCUCUCCCUCUCUCUCCCUCCAUCCAUCUCUCUCCUCUCUUUCUCCAUCCAUCUCUCUCCCUCUCUCUCUACCUCUCCCUCUAUCUCUUUCUCUCUCUCCCUCUCUCUCUCUCUCUCUCUCUCUCUCUCUCUCUCUCCCUCCUCUUUCUAUAUUCCCUCCCAAGCUGUGUUGGUGUGAUUGACACACUGCAUGCAUGUUGUUGAAUGUGUUAUUAGUGUGUGUGUGUGUGUUUGUGUGUGUGUGAAUGUGUUAUUAGUGUGUGUGUGUGUGUGUUUGUGUGUGUGUGAAUGUGUUAUUAGUGUGUGUGUGUGUGUGUGUGUGUGAAUGUUGUGUGUGUGUUUGUGUGUGUGAAUGUGUUAUUAGUGUGUGUGUGUGUGAAUGUGUUAUUAGUGUGUGUGUGUGUGUGUGUGUUUGUGUGUGUGAAUGUGUUAUUAGUGUGUGUGUGUGUGUGAAUGUGUUAUUAGUGUGUGUGUGUGUGAAUGUGUUAUUAGUGUGUGUGUGUGUUUGUGUUUGUGUGUGUGUGAAUGUGUUAUUAGUGUGUGUGUGUGUGUGUGUGAAUGUGUUAUUAGUAUGUGUGUGUAUGUGUGUGUGAAUGUGUUAUUAGUGUGUGUGUGUGUGUGAAUGUGUUAUUAGUGUGUGUGUGUGUGUACCUGGGUAAAUGUGUGUGUGUAUGUGUGUAAGUGAGUGAACGUGUGUGUGUGUGUGUAAGUGAGUGAAUGUGUGUGUAAGUGAGUGAACGUGUGUGUGUGUAAGUGAGUGAAUGUGUGUGUAAGCGAGUGAAUGUGUGUGUGUGUGUGUAAGUGAGUGAAUGUGUGUGUGUGUGUGUGUGUGUGUGUGUGUGUGUGUGU